rnacentral:rRNA from 1 species
UACGGAGGGUGCAAGCGUUAAUCGGAAUUACUGGGCGUAAAGCGUGCGCAGGCGGUUUGUUAAGUCUGCUGUGAAAUCCCCGAGCUCAACUUGGGAAUUGCAGUGGAUACUGGCAGGCUGGAGUAUGGUAGAGGAAGGUGGAAUUCCCGGUGUAGCAGUGAAAUGCGUAGAGAUCGGGAGGAACACCAGUGGCGAAGGCGGCCUUCUGGACCGAUACUGACGCUCAUGCACGAAAGCGUGGGGAGCAAACAGG